CAAUUCGUGGCCUAGUGGCUAGAGCGUCCGCCUCAAAUGCAAUAGGUCGUGGGUUCGAACCCCGGCCGAAUCAUACCA